GCGUUGGUGGCCGAGUGGUUAAGGCGUCGGAUUCAAGUCCCGAUAUCCGUGAGGAUGCGCGAGUUCAAAUCUCGUCCAACGCA
rnacentral:tRNA from 1 species